rnacentral:rRNA from 1 species
GAUGAACGCUGGCGGCGUGCCUAAUACAUGCAAGUCGAGCGAACAGACGAGGAGCUUGCUCCUCUGACGUUAGCGGCGGACGGGUGAGUAACACGUGGAUAACCUACCUAUAAGACUGGGAUAACUUCGGGAAACCGGAGCUAAUACCGGAUAACAUGUUGAACCGCAUGGUUCAACAGUGAAAGACGGUUUUGCUGUCACUUAUAGAUGGAUCCGCGUCGCAUUAGCUAGUUGGUAAGGUAACGGCUUACCAAGGCAACGAUGCGUAGCCGACCUGAGAGGGUGAUCGGCCACACUGGAACUGAGACACGGUCCAGACUCCUACGGGAGGCAGCAGUAGGGAAUCUUCCGCAAUGGGCGAAAGUCUGACGGAGCAACGCCGCGUGAGUGAAGAAGGUCUUCGGAUCGUAAAACUCUGUUAUUAGGGAAGAACAAAUGUGUAAGUAACUAUGCACGUCUUGACGGUACCUAAUCAGAAAGCCACGGCUAACUACGUG